GAGUGAACGCUGGCGGUAGGCCUAACACAUGCAAGUCGAACGGCAGCACAGUAAGAGCUUGCUCUUACGGGUGGUGAGUGGCGGACGGGUGAGGAAUACAUCGGAAUCUACUUUUUCGUGGGGGAUAACGUAGGGAAACUUACGCUAAUACCGCAUACGACCUACGGGUGAAAGCAGGGGAUCUUCGGACCUUGCGCGAUCGAAUGAGCCGAUGUCGGAUUAGCUAGUUGGCGGGGUAAAGGCCCACCAAGGCGACGAUCCGUAGCUGGUCUGAGAGGAUGAUCAGCCACACUGGAACUGAGACACGGUCCAGACUCCUACGGGAGGCAGCAGUGGGGAAUAUUGGACAAAGGGCGCAAGCCUGAUCCAGCCAUACCGCGUGGGUGAAGAAGGCCUUCGGGUUGUAAAGCCCUUUUGUUGGGAAAGAAAAGCAGCAGGUUAAUACCCCGCUGCUCUGACGGUACCCAAAGAAUAAGCACCGGCUAACUUCGUG
rnacentral:rRNA from 1 species